AUGGGCUGUAAUUUAGUUCAAUUCAGAACUGCAGAUAGUACAGCUUCCACAGGAGCAAGGGAUGUCUGAGCACAAGUGGCUGAGUUCCGAGUGACUUUAUGAAGCACUUUCUACCUUCCUCUCCGGCAUGAAAACAGGGAUUCUGCACCUGCAUCAUGGACAGUCUGGCAAAAGCCUCUGCUCUGCCUCCGGGGACAAGAAACUAGAGCAAAUAACCGUUUUGAAAUUGUAAGUAUACCUUUCUUUCCGUCAAGUGUACUGAUUAAAAUAGUUUUAUGUCAUAAACAUCCAAUAUUUGAAGAUUUCUUAAGGGUACUCUUUCAUGUGUAUAUUGAAGGUUAUUCAGCUGGCAGGAAAAUAUUCCAGGGACAAUUGUUGCAUACUUUAUUCUGUUGAGGAUAAAGAAUUAAAAAUAAAAGUCAGGCAUUCCAAAGAGUAGCUGUAGGAGGCUGUGCGCUGGAACAUCGCUCUAGUGUGCUGCUUUGUUCAUAAGAAAAAAUGAAGGCACACGCAUAUGUACUUAGUUCACUUCUUUUUGCUCUUUAUGUCUAAUCAGAUUUGCUCUGUCCCCAAGAAAAAUAAAAGACAAACUUUGCUGACUCCACUGACAAGGGCACCAUAGACUUUCCAGACAUCUGACAGUUAUUAUAAUUAGCUAUGAAAGACUGCAAAGACACUUGGGGGCAAAUAGCUCUUAAAUUCUGAACAAUGGCUUCAAGCCAGGGCUUUAUAUGUUUUUUUAACCACCACUUUUAAUUUUAUAAUAAGGAUAGAGACUGAACUGGUUUCGGUGUUGUAGUCCACACAAUGUGAAAUAAAGUCCCAGCAGAAGUGAAGGCGACUGAAAGUGGCCAGUGUAAAGACAGAAGGAAAAGACAGCUUUCUGUCUUAGGAUCUAGCCUUCCAUGUAUAAAGAUUUUUUUUUUUUUUGAAAUUCCUAAUAGGGUGGAGUGAGGAUGUGGGGGUGGGGAGGAAGCAUGCGGAAGCUUCUUUAUAGAAGAAUGCUUGAAGAAUAAAAUAAUUUGGCAUUUCUUCUUUCUAGCAAGCAAAA
rnacentral:lncRNA from 1 species